UACAGAGGUCCCAAGCGUUGUUCGGAUUCACUGGGCGUAAAGGGUGCGUAGGUGGUCGGGUAAGUCUGAUGUGAAAUCUCCGAGCUUAACUCGGAAAUGGCAUUGGAUACUAUUCGACUGGAGGGUUGGAGGGGGGACUGGAAUUCUCGGUGUAGCAGUGAAAUGCGUAGAUAUCGAGAGGAACACCAGUGGCGAAGGCGAGUCCCUGGACAACUCCUGACACUGAGGCACGAAAGCUAGGGGAGCAAACAGG
rnacentral:rRNA from 1 species